UCCUGACUAACACGUGGCUAAUUUUCAGAGGGAACACUGGCAGCCUUCAUCUGCACAGCAGGGGAUCCUCUUCCAAAGACAACUCCAGAACAAGGUCUCCCUGAGACACAUAUAUUGGAAAGCCUGGGAAAUUUUGAAUGGAACAGGUCUCCCUCAGACGCAGGGAUUGGAAAACCUGGGAAACAUUAAGUACAACAGAGGGUGCCUUGGUGGCCUUCAUGUGCACAGCAGGGAGUCCUCCUCCAAAGAGAGCUCCAGGACAUGGUCUCCCUCAGAGAAAUUCACUGGAAAACCUGGGAAACAUUCAAUAGAACAGGUAAUCCUGCCUACUCAACGAAGCUAACUGACACUUGGCAUAAGGAAGGGGGUAAGUGAAGCAGCCCAGAAGGCGUCUCCCUCCUAAGCUAGAUCUUAGCCAUUGUGAUGGGUGUGGGAAGGGAUCUGGAGGGACAAGAGAAGGGGACUCCUUACAAACAUGGGCCUAAUUUUCAGAUGAUGCAUUGACAGCCUUCAGCUGCCCAGCAGCGGAUCUUCCUCCAAAAACAGCUCCAGGA